GUCGCCUAGAGCCAUCUAUCGGUGAGCGGAAGAACUACACACCAAACUCGGGCAAGAAGUGGGUCGAUGGAGUCUUCUCUCAAUCCCAAACUUUUUAUCAAUAAUGACGUGAAGACCGAGCUUUUUUUAUUGAUGUGAACACGAGAAUCCCCCUCCCCCUAAUAAAGAAAGAGAAACAAGUGAGUUCCCCCUCUUCGAAAAGGAAAAUCAGAAACGCCUCUCCCGUGUUCGUGUGUGAAGUUUUUGGGGGUUUAUUUUUCUUCUCUCGUACUCGCUUUACAGAGAAACAAUAGAAAUAAGAGUGAAAAGAGAGCGAAACUAAGCAACUCCAAAAGAAAAAGGAUAGAAAGACGAGAAAGAGGAAAGAAAAGGAACCCUUCCUCUCUCCCUCCCACAAAAAUAUUCCCCAAUGUAUAAACAACUCCAAAUGGGCUUUCGUACCUUUCUUCUCUUGGCUCAAAAAAUCUGGAGUUUCAUCUGUUAUGUCUUGAGGAAGCAAGCGAGGGUGGUGUUGCAGUACCAGCCAGUGAAAUAUGAAGUGUUGCCCCUCUCACCGCUGUCUAAACACCGACUAAGCCUGGUGAAGAAG
rnacentral:lncRNA from 1 species